CUGUCCUCUUCAAAGUCCUGGCGGAGCUUGAGGAGACUAACAGCGCAGGGUAAAGAAGCUCUCCAUAAAACCCAGGACACUCUACACCUCCUCCUCGGAGCCUGUCUGGAGCCACAGAU